CCUCUACAUGUUCAUACAGAUUUCAAUAUUCUACCAUGACUUAAGUAAAUACUGGAUUGUGAUUGGUUAGUUCAAGUCAUUAAGAGGUAUAUAACCACCUAUUAUACCUCUGAUUUUCCAACACAGUAUGU
rnacentral:lncRNA from 1 species